AUUUACGAAAAAUGACUUUUUUAAAUUCAAUAAUUGAAUUUAUUUUUAUUUGUGAGGAAACAAUAAUAAAUAUUAAGGACAAGAAGACCCUAAGAAUUUUAAAAGAAUUAAUAUUUGAAUCAAAAUUUAUAUCUUUUUAAUUGGGGCGAUUAAGAAAUAUUAAUAACUUUCUUUACAAUAUCAAAAUGAACCGUUAAUAGCGGUAAUAUGAUAAAAAUACUCUAGGGAUAACAGCGUAAUAAUUUUUGAUAGUUCAUAUAGACAAAAUAGUUUGCGACCUCGAUGUUGGAUUAGGAUACUUUUUUAAUGAAGAAGUUAAAAUAAGGAGUUUGUUCAACUUUUAAAAUCCUA
rnacentral:rRNA from 1 species